rnacentral:rRNA from 1 species
AACGCUGGCGGCGCGCUUAACACAUGCAAGUCGAGCGAGAACCUGGGCUUCGGCCCCGGGGACAGCGGCGAACGGGUGAGUAACACGUGGGUAAUCUGCCCUCGGCAUCGGGAUAGCCCGGGGAAACCCGGAUUAAUACCGGAUAGCCUCCGGAGCCUUCGGGCGCCGGAGAAAAGGUAGCUUCGGCCUCUGGCCGAGGAUGAGCCCGCGGCGGAUUAGCUUGUUGGCGGGGUAACGGCCCACCAAGGCGACGAUCCGUAGCUGGUCUGAGAGGACGAUCAGCCACACUGGGACUGAGACACGGCCCAGACUCCGACGGGAGGCAGCAGUGGGGAAUCUUGCGCUAAUGCGGGAAACCGUGACGCAGCGACGCCGCGUGGGGGAAGAAGGCCUUCGGGUUGUAAACCUCUUUCAGGAGGGACGAAGCUACUCGGGUUAAUAGCCCAGAGGGUGACGGUACCUCCAGAAGAAGCCCCGGCUAACUACGUGCCAGCAGCCGCCGUAAUAC